rnacentral:rRNA from 1 species
CCACCACCAAAGCAUUCUCUGGUGUUGAAGGCCCUGCAAAGCAGCAUCGCGGUGGCGGAGCGUCGUUUGCGACGCCCAACACACAAAACAAGCGGUGAGUGCUUUGGGGUGGGGUGACUGCGUACCUUUUGUAUAAUGGGUCAGCGACUUAUAUUCUGUAGCAAGGUUAACCGAAUAGGGGAGCCGUAGGGAAACCGAGUCUUAACCGGGCGUUAAGUUGCAGGGUAUAGACCCGAAACCCGGUGAUCUAGCCAUGGGCAGGUUGAAGGUUGGGUAACACUAACUGGAGGACCGAACCGACUAAUGUUGAAAAAUUAGCGGAUGACCUGUGGCUGGGGGUGAAAGGCCAAUCAAACCGGGAGAUAGCUGGUUCUCCCCGAAAGCUAUUUAGGUAGCGCCUCGUGAAUUCAUCUCCGGGGGUAGAGCACUGUUUCGGCUAGGGGGCCAUCCCGGCUUACCAACCCGAUGCAAACUGCGAAUACCGGAGAAUGUUAUCACGGGAGACACACGGCGGGUGCUAACGUCCGUCGUGAAGAGGGAAACAACCCAGACCGCCAGCUAAGGUCCCAAAGUCAUGGUUAAGUGGGAAACGAUGUGGGAAGGCCCAGACAGCCAGGAUGUUGGCUUAGAAGCAGCCAUCAUUUAAAGAAAGCGUAAUAGCUCACUGGUCGAGUCGGCCUGCGCGGAAGAUGUAACGGGGCUAAACCAUGCACCGAAGCUGCGGCAGCGACACUGUGUGUUGUUGGGUAGGGGAGCGUUCUGUAAGCCUGCGAAGGUGGCCUGUGAGGGUUGCUGGAGGUAUCAGAAGUGCGAAUGCUGACAUAAGUAACGAUAAAGCGGGUGAAAAGCCCGCUCGCCGGAAGACCAAGGGUUCCUGUCCAACGUUAAUCGGGGCAGGGUGAGUCGACCCCUAAGGCGAGGCCGAAAGGCGUAGUCGAUGGGAAACGGGUUAAUAUUCCCGUACUUGGUGUUACUGCGAAGGGGGGACGGAGAAGGCUAUGUUGGCCGGGCGACGGUUGUCCCGGUUUAAGCGUGUAGGUGUGUGUUCCAGGUAAAUCCGGUUCACUUUAACACUGAGGCGUGAUGACGAGGCACUACGGUGCUGAAGCAACAAAUGCCCUGCUUCCAGGAAAAGCCUCUAAGCAUCAGGUAACAUCAAAUCGUACCCCAAACCGACACAGGUGGUCAGGUAGAGAAUACCAAGGCGCUUGAGAGAACUCGGGUGAAGGAACUAGGCAAAAUGGUGCCGUAACUUCGGGAGAAGGCACGCUGACACGUAGGUGAAGUGAUUUACUCAUGGAGCUGAAGUCAGUCGAAGAUACCAGCUGGCUGCAACUGUUUAUUAAAAACACAGCACUGUGCAAACACGAAAGUGGACGUAUACGGUGUGACGCCUGCCCGGUGCCGGAAGGUUAAUUGAUGGGGUCAGCGCAAGCGAAGCUCCUGAUCGAAGCCCCGGUAAACGGCGGCCGUAACUAUAACGGUCCUAAGGUAGCGAAAUUCCUUGUCGGGUAAGUUCCGACCUGCACGAAUGGCGUAAUGAUGGCCAGGCUGUCUCCACCCGAGACUCAGUGAAAUUGAACUCGCUGUGAAGAUGCAGUGUACCCGCGGCAAGACGGAAAGACCCCGUGAACCUUUACUAUAGCUUGACACUGAACAUUGAGCCUUGAUGUGUAG